rnacentral:rRNA from 1 species
AUUGAACGCUGGCGGCAGGCUUAACACAUGCAAGUCGAGCGGGGUGAUGGUGCUUGCACUAUCACUUAGCGGCGGACGGGUGAGUAAUGCUUAGGAAUCUGCCUAUUAGUGGGGGACAACAUCUCGAAAGGGAUGCUAAUACCGCAUACGUCCUACGGGAGAAAGCAGGGGAUCACUUGUGACCUUGCGCUAAUAGAUGAGCCUAAGUCGGAUUAGCUUGUUGGUGGGGUAAAGGCCUACCAAGGCGACGAUCUGUAGCGGGUCUGAGAGGAUGAUACGCCACACUGGGAGUGAGACACGGCCCAGACUCCUACGGGAGGCAGCAGUGGGGAAUAUUGGACAAUGGGGGGAACCCUGAUCCAGCCAUGCCGCGUGUGUGAAGAAGGCCUUAUGGUUGUAAAGCACUUUAAGCGAGGAGGAGGCUUACCUAGUUAAUACCUGGGAUAAGUGGACGUUACUCGCAGAAUAAGCACCGGCUAACUCUGUGCCAGCCGCCGCGGUAA